GGAGCUUUUGGGGUGGCUCUGACGCCUGUGGGUUUAAAUGGAGGGGGGGGUUUAGGGUUAGGGUAUUUGUCACCAUUGAUCCUAUUGAUCCCAUUGAUCCCAUUGAUCCUAUUGAUCCUAUUGAUCCCAUUGAUCCCCAUUGAUCCCCAUUGAUCCCAUUGACCCCCAUUGAUCCCCAUUGAUCUCAUUGAUCCCAUUCUUCCCAUUACCCCCAUUGAGCCCAUUGAGCCCAUUGAGCCCAUUACCCCCAUUGAUCCCCAUUGAUCCCAUUGAUCCUAUUGAUCCCAUUGAUCCCCAUUGACCCCAUUGAUCCCCAUUGAUCCCAUUCAUCCCAUUGAUCCCCAUUGACCCCAUUGAUCCUAUUGAUCCCCACUGAUCCCAUUAAUCCUAUAGAUCCUAUUGAUCCCAUUGAUCCCCAUUGAUCCCAUUGAUCCUAUUGAUCCCAUUGAUCCUAUUGAUCCCAUUGAUCUCCAUUAAUCCCAUUCAUCCCAUUGCCCCCAUUCAUCCCCAUUGCCCCCAUUCAUCCCAUUGCCUCCAUUGCGCCCAUUGAUCCCAUUGAUCCCAUUGUCCCCAUUGAUCCCAUUGAUCCCAUUCAUCCUAAUUGCCACCAAUUGAUCUACAUUGACGCCUAUUGAUACCAGUUGAUGCAUUGGGCAUUGAUCCUAUUGAUCCCCAUUGAGCCCCACCGAUCCCAUUGACCCCAUUGACCCCAUUUACCCCCAUUGAUCCCCAUUGAUCCAUUCCAAUCCCAUUGAUUGCUCCAUUGAUCCCCACAUUGACCCCAUUGAUUCCAUUGAUCCUAUUGACCCCAUUGAUCCCCACCUGAACCCCAUUGAUCCUAAUUGAUUCCAUUGAUCCUAUUGACCCCAUUGAUCCCCCUGACCCCAUUGAAUCCUAUUGAUCCCACUGAUCCCAUUGAAUCCCACACUGAUCCUAGUGAUUCCCCACUGAUCCCAUUGAUCCUAUAGAUCUAUUGAUCCCAUUGAUCGCUAUUCGAUUCCCAUUGAUCCCCCAUUGACUCCCAUUGAUCCCAUUGAUCCUAUUUGAUCCCAUUCGAUCCCCAUUGAUCCCAAUUGAUCCCAUUGACCCCAUUGAUACCAUUGAUUUCCUAUCAUCCUAAUUGCCCCAAUUGAUCUCAUUGACCACCUAUUGAUCCCAUUGAUCCUAUUGAUCCCCAUUGAGCCCCACUGAUCCCAUUGACCCCAUUGACCCCAUUACCCCCAUUGAUCCCCAUUGAUCCAUUCAAUCCCAUUGUCUCAAUUGAUCCCCAUUGAACCCAUUGAUUCCCAUGAUCCUAAUUGACCACCAUUGAUCCCACUGACACCCAUUGAUCCUAUUGAUUCCAUUGAUCCUA
rnacentral:lncRNA from 1 species